rnacentral:misc_RNA from 1 species
GAUGAAGAACGUAGCUAAAUGCGAUAAGUAAUGUGAAUUGCAGAAUUCAGUGAAUCAUCGAAUCUUUGAACGCACAUUGCGCCCGCCAGUAUUCUGGCGGGCAUGCCUGUCUGAGCGUCAUUUCAACCCUCAUGCCCCUAGGGCGUGGUGUUGGGGAUCGGCCAAAGCCCGCGAGGGACGGCCGGCCCCUAAAUCUAGUGGCGGACCCGUCGUGGCCUCCUCUGCGAAGUAGUGAUAUUCCGCAUCGGAGAGCGACGAGCCCCUGCCGUUAAACCCCCAACUUUCCAAGGUUGACCUCAGAUCAGGUAGGAAUACCCGCUGAACUUAAGCAUAUCAAUAAGCGGAGGA